UACAGAGGUCUCAAGCGUUGUUCGGAUUCAUUGGGCGUAAAGGGUGCGCAGGCUGUGUGGUAAGUCGGGUGUGAAAUUUAGGAGCUUAACUCCUAAACUGCACCUGAUACUGCCAUACUAGAGGACUGUAGAGGAGAUUGGAAUUCACGGUGUAGCAGUGAAAUGCGUAGAUAUCGUGAGGAAGACCAGUGGCGAAGGCGAAUCUCUGGGCAGUUCCUGACGCUCAUGCACGAAGGCUAGGGGAGCAAACGGG
rnacentral:misc_RNA from 1 species